AUUGAACGCUGGCGGCAGGCCUAACACAUGCAAGUCGAACGGUAACAGGAAGAAGCUUGCUUCUUUGCUGACGAGUGGCGGACGGGUGAGUAAUGUCUGGGAAACUGCCUGAUGGAGGGGGAUAACUACUGGAAACGGUAGCUAAUACCGCAUAACGUCGCAAGACCAAAGAGGGGGACCUUCGGGCCUCUUGCCAUCGGAUGUGCCCAGAUGGGAUUAGCUAGUAGGUGGGGUAACGGCUCACCUAGGCGACGAUCCCUAGCUGGUCUGAGAGGAUGACCAGCCACACUGGAACUGAGACACGGUCCAGACUCCUACGGGAGGCAGCAGUGGGGAAUAUUGCACAAUGGGCGCAAGCCUGAUGCAGCCAUGCCGCGUGUAUGAAGAAGGCCUUCGGGUUGUAAAGUACUUUCAGCGGGGAGGAGGGGAGUAAAGUUAAUACCCUUGCUCAUUGACGUUACCCGCAGAAGAAGCACCGGCUAACUCCGUG
rnacentral:rRNA from 1 species